rnacentral:rRNA from 1 species
UGGGGAAUUUUGCGCAAUGGGCGAAAGCCUGACGCAGCAACGCCGCGUGGGUGAUGAAGGUCUUCGGAUCGUAAAACCCUGUCGUCGGGGACGAAGGUGGCUUGGUUAACAGCUGAGUUGCUUGACGGUACCCGGAGAGGAAGCCCCGGCUAACUCUGUGCCAGCAGCCGCGGUAAUACAGAGGGGGCAAGCGUUAUUCGGAAUUAUUGGGCGUAAAGGGCGCGUAGGCGGUUUUUUAAGUCAGAUGUGUAAUCCCCGAGCUCAACUUGGGAACUGCAUCUGAGACUGGAAGGCUAGAGUACUGGAGAGGGUGGUAGAAUUCCACGUGUAGCGGUGAAAUGCGUAGAGAUGUGGAGGAAUACCAGUGGCGAAGGCGGCCACCUGGACAGUAACUGACGCUGAGGCGCGAAAGUGUGGGUAGCAAACAGG